rnacentral:rRNA from 1 species
CCUACGGGUGGCAGCAGUGAGGAAUAUUGGUCAAUGGUCGGGAGACUGAACCAGCCAAGCCGCGUGAGGGAUGAAGGUACAGAGUAUCGUAAACCUCUUUUGUCAGGGAACAAAGGCGGGGACGUGUCCCCGGAUGAGUGUACCUGAAGAAAAAGCAUCGGCUAACUCCGUGCCAGCAGCCGCGGUAAUACGGAGGAUGCGAGCGUUAUCCGGAUUUAUUGGGUUUAAAGGGUGCGCAGGCGGGCUGUUAAGUCAGCGGUCAAAGCCCGGGGCUCAACCCGGGCCCGCCGUUGAAACUGGCAGUCUCGAGUUGGAGAGGAGUAUGCGGAAUGGGGGGUGUAGCGGGGAAAUGCAUAGAUAUC